GAUUAACGCUGGCGGCGUGCAUAACACAUGCAAGUCGAACGAAGUGGCGGACGGGUGAGUAAAGCGUGAGUAACCUGCCUUAGAGAAGGGGAUAGCCUUUGGAAACGAAGAAUAAUACCCUAUACUCUAAUAUGGACUUGCGUCUGAUUAGUUAGUUGGUGGGGUAACGGCGCACCAAGACAGCGAUCAGUAGCUGGGUUUGGAGAGUGUACGGCAACAUUAGGACUGGGACAAGGCCCAGACUCUACGGGAGGCAGCAAGGGGGAAUUUUGCACAAUGGGGGAAACCCUGAUGCAUCGGCGCCGCGUGAUUUAGAAGGCCUUCGGGUUGUAAAAAUCUUUUCUAUGGGAAGCAGUACCAUAGGAAUAAGGACCGGCUAAUUACGUGCCAGCCGCCGCGGUAAUUC
rnacentral:rRNA from 1 species